GACGAACGCUGGCGGCGCGCUUAACACAUGCAAGUCGAACGGAAAGGCCUGCUUUCCCUUGUGGAUUGCGGGUACUCGAGUGGCGAACGGGUGAGUAACACGUGAGUGAUCUGCCCCCAACUUGGGUAUAAGCCUGGGAAACUGGGUCUAAUUCCCGAUAGGACUGCAGGGUGGUGCCUGUGGUGGAAAACGAUUUUCUAGUGGUUGGGGAUGAGCUCGCGGCCUAUCAGCUUGUUGGUGGGGUAAUGGCCUACCAAGGCGGCGACGGGUAGCCGGCCUGAGAGGGUGGACGGCCACAUUGGGACUGAGAUACGGCCCAGACUCCUACGGGAGGCAGCAGUGGGGAAUAUUGCACAAUGGGCGGAAGCCUGAUGCAGCAACGCCGCGUGGGGGAUGACGGCCUUCGGGUUGUAAACUCCUUUCGACCGCGAGGAAGCCACCUGGUUGGAAGGGUGGUGACGGUAGUGGUAGAAGAAGCACCGGCUAACUACGUG
rnacentral:rRNA from 1 species